UUGGAGGGCAAGUCUGGUGCCAGCAGCCGCGGUAAUUCCAGCUCCAAUAGCGUAUAUUAAAGUUGCUGCAGUUAAAAAGCUCGUAGUUGAAUUUCGGGACCAAUAUGUCGGUCGUGCCUCGGUACGUACUGGCAUCGUUGGUUUCUCCCUUCUGACGAACCAUGAUGUCAUUUAUUUGGUGUCGUGGGGAAUCAGGACUGUUACUUUGAAAAAAUUAGAGUGUUUAAAGCAGGCUCACGCUUGAAUACAUUAGCAUGGAAUAAUGAAAUAGGACGUUUGAUUCUAUUUUGUUGGUUUCUAGGAUCGACGUAAUGAUUAAUAGGGAUAGUUGGGGGCAUGAGUAUUCAAUUGUCAGAGGUGAAAUUCUUGGAUUUAUUGAAGACUAACUACUGCGAAAGCAUUUGCCAAGGAUGUUUUCAUUAAUCAAGAACGAAAGUUAGGGGAUCGAAGACGAUCAGAUACCGUCGUAGUCUUAACCAUAAACUAUGCCGACUAGGGAUCGGAUGAUGUUAAUUUUUUAAUGACUCAUUCGGCGCCUUACGGGAAAC
rnacentral:rRNA from 1 species